GCUCCUGUUAUAUUUAUGGUAUUUUUUUGUGUUAAAUACAUGCUUUUAUGCUUGAACUCAGGAGACGGAGGUAGCAGUAAGCCGGGAUUGUGCCACUGCACUCCAGCCUGGGCGACAGAGCAAGACGUCAUCUCACAAAAAAAGUAAAAAUAAAAUAAAUAAAUAAAUGAAUACAUGAUUUUAAAAUGUUUGCUAUGAAAAAUACGAUGUUUUGCUACAGGUUUUCUAUGGAAAGUCUUCAGCCUUGACUGCAUUGAGAAUUCUUGGAAAAUAUGUUUCAAAUUUAAGGAACUUAACGUACUCAAAGGUUUUCAGUAACACUUCUUACAAAGUAGUUACCUAACGUGGGUCUUUAUUUUUUUGUUUUUUUUUAAUUGCAUUUUAGGUUUUGGGGUACACGUGAAGAACAUGCAAGACUGUUGCACAGAUUUUGAUAUCAGGAUGAUGCCGGCCUCAUGGAAAGAGUUACAAAGGAGUCCCUCCUCCUCAAUUUAUUGCAGCGGUUUUAUUAGAAAUGGUAUUGGCACUUGUAUUUUUUUUUUUGAAGU
rnacentral:lncRNA from 1 species